UACGUAGGUGGCAAGCGUUGUCCGGAAUUACUGGGUGUAAAGGGUGCGUAGACGGAGAAGCAAGUUAGUUGUGAAAUCCCUCGGCUUAACUGAGGAACUGCAACUAAAACUACUUCCCUUGAGUACUGGAGAGGAAAGUGGAAUUCCUAGUGUAGCGGUGAAAUGCGUAGAUAUUAGGAGGAACACCAGUGGCGAAGGCGACUUUCUGGACAGUAACUGACGUUGAGGCACGAAAGUGUGGGGAGCAAACAGG
rnacentral:rRNA from 1 species